UACGGAGGAUGCAAGCGUUAUCCGGAAUGAUUGGGCGUAAAGCGUCCGCAGGUGGCUAUGUAAGUCUGCUGUUAAAGGGUGAGGCUCAACCUCAUAAGAGCAGUGGAAACUACAUGGCUAGAGUGCGUUCGGGGCAGAGGGAAUUCCUGGUGUAGCGGUGAAAUGCGUAGAGAUCAGGAAGAACACCGGUGGCGAAAGCGCUCUGCUGGACUGCAACUGACACUCAGGGACGAAAGCUAGGGGAGCGAAUGGG
rnacentral:rRNA from 1 species